AUAAAACAAAUAUAUGAAAAUGUUGCAUGCAUCCAUAUCCCCAGGUAAUCCCUGCUAAGACAGUUGAAAAGUCUGCGACAGACUGUCACUUCGAGUCUGUUCCUCAGGCUCAUGGGAAAUCAAAGAGAAAGCAAGAGAGAGACAGAGACAGUGAGGGAGCAAGAGCAGGAGAGAGGAAGGCGGAGAGAGAAAAGGAUCACACAAAACAAACAAAUACUGCACAUUUGUGGCAAAGUGGCAAAAGCUAACUUUCCACCUUCAGAGAGGCUCUUCAUUUCUUAAACCAGGUGGGGCUGUAAUUGGGAAGAACUGUUUGAAUACUCAAAUAUUUGAGCUGCCUAUAAUAUCAGUGAACCUUAACUUGACUUCUUCUUGAUGAAUCGGAGUUCGGUUGGGAGGGAGAGAUCUCCACUCCACCAGAAAUAUCCCUCCUUCAGAAGCCCAUAAUGCUGGACAUUUUAAUCAGGGACAGUGAAACAAUGCAGGAGUGAAGAUUCAGGCCGGGCACAGGCUUACAUCUGUCCCACAACACAACCUAAGAGGCUUUUAGUUGUUUUCUGGAGUUUGGGAUCACCAUUCUUCCUUCCCAUAGUUCAUCACACCUCCAGGUUCCAGCUCUAAUUUCACAGUCCACACCUCCUGAAAGCUACACCUACCACGCACUGAUCCAAAAAGCCUCUUAAAGUAUUGCAGUUACAUAGAUUGCUUUCCAAAAGGGGUGGGCAGGAAUUUAAACAGUGCAUUGUGGAAGUGCAAACAGUGCAAUCCACAA